rnacentral:rRNA from 1 species
UAGAGUUUGAUCCUGGCUCAGAACGUACGCUGGCGGCACGCCUAACACAUGCAAGUCGAACGAAGUAGCAAUACUUAGUGGCAGACGGGUGAGUAACAUGUAGGUAUCUGCCCUUUGGCCUGGAAUAACACGAGGAAACUUGUGCUAAUACCGGAUAAGUCUUUACGGAGAAAGCUUUAUGCACCAUUGGAUGAGCCUGCACUUGAUUAGUUUGUUGGUGGGGUAAUGGCCUACCAAGACUGUGAUCAAUAGCUGAUUUGAGAGGAUGAUCAGCCACAUUGGGACUGAGACACGGCCCAAACUCCUACGGGAGGCAGCAGUGGGGAAUCUUGCACAAUGGAGGAAACUCUGAUGCAGCGAUGCCGCGUGAGUGAAGAAGGCCCUUGGGUUGUAAAGCUCUUUCGUCGGGGAAGAAAAUGACUGUACCCGAAUAAGAAGGUCCGGCUAACUUCGUGCCAGCAGCCGCGGUAAUACGAAGGGACCUAGCGUAGUUCGGAAUUACUGGGCUUAAAGAGUUCGUAGGUGGUUGAAAAAGUUGGUGGUGAAAUCCCAGAGCUUAACUCUGGAACUGCCAUCAAAACUUUUCAGCUAGAGUAUGAUAGAGGAAAGCAGAAUUUCUAGUGUAGAGGUGAAAUUCGUAGAUAUUAGAAAGAAUACCGAUUGCGAAGGCAGCUUUCUGGAUCAUUACUGACACUGAGGAACGAAAGCAUGGGUAGCGAAGAGGAUUAGAUACCCUCGUAGUCCAUGCCGUAAACGAUGUGUGUUAGACGUUGGAAAUUUAUUUUCUGUGUCGCAGCGAAAGCGAUAAACACACCGCCUGGGGAGUACGACCGCAAGGUUAAAACUCAAAUGAAUUGACGGGGACCCGCACAAGUAGUGGAGCAUGUGGUUUAAUUCGAAGAUACGCGCAGAACCUUACCAACACUUGACAUGUUCGUCGCGACUCUAAGAGAUUAGAGUUUUCGGUUCGGCCGGACGAAACACAGGUGCUGCAUGGCUGUCGCCAGCUCGUGUCGUGAGAUGUUGGGUUAAGUCCCGCAACGAGCGCAACCCCUACCUCUAGUUGCCACCAUUUAGUUGGGCACUUUAGAGGAACUGCCAGUGAUAAGCUGGAGGAAGGUGGGGAUGACGUCAAGUCCUCAUGGCCCUUACGUGUUGGGCUACACACGUGCUACAAUGACACUUACAGUGGGAAGCUAAGUCGCGAGACUAAGCUAAUCCCUAAAAUGUGUCUCAGUUCGGAUUGCACUCUGUAACUCGAGUGCAUGAAGCUGGAAUUACUAGUAAUCGUGGAUCAGCGCGCCACGGUGAAUACGUUCCCGGGUCUUGUACACACCGCCCGUCACACCAUGGAAGUUGGUUACACCUUAAGGCAAAUCGUCAACCUUCGGGAGACAUUUGACUACGGUACGAUCAGCAACUGGGGUGAAGUCGUAACAAGGUAACCA